UCCUGCCAGUAGUCAUAUGCUUGUCUUAAAGAUUAAGCCAUGCAAGUCUAAGUAUAAGCAAUUAUACAGUAAAACUGCGGAAGGCUCAUUAAAUCAGUUAUAAUUUGUUUGAUAAUAUAAAGAAGUGACAGGCAACUGUUAUUUUUUUGUUGGAUAACUGUAGUAAUUCUAGAGCUAAUACAUGAUAAAAUCCCUGACUYUACAGAAAGGGAGCAUUUAUAAGUAAAUAAAAGCAAUAGGUUGGGGGUUAAACUCUAACUUAAUGUCUUUGAAUUAUUAUAAAAUAAGCAGACCAUAUGACCCAGCGUCGAUGGCAAUACAUUCAAGUUUCUGCCCUAUCAACUUUGAAGAUAAUAUAUAGAAUUAUCUUGGUGAUAACGGGUGACGGGGAAUUAGGGUUCGAUUCCGGAGAGGGCGCCUGAGAAAUGGCGACUACUUCCAAGGAAGGCAGCAGGCGCGCAAAUUACCCAAUCUCAAUACGAGGAGGUAGUGACAAUAAAUAACAAUGCGGAUUCUUUUAAGGAUUCGCAAUUGGAAUGAGUACAAUUUAAACCAAUUAACAAGGAACAAUUGGAGGGCAAGUCUGGUGCCAGCAGCCGCGGUAAUUCCAGCUCCAAUAGCGUAUAUUAAAGUUGUUGUAGUUAAAAAGCUCGUAGUUGGAUUUUUGUGUCAAAAGAAUUGUUUUAUCGGAAGGUAAAAUGAUUUAAUUGAUCACAUAUGUUUCGAAUUAUCACACUUUGUUCUUAACUGAAUGAAGCGUAAAAAUUGGGUAUGUCUUUUAACGAGGGCAAAUUCAAUGGAUAUCGAAUAUUUUACUUUGAAGAAAUUAGAGUGUUUAAAGCAGGCAGAAGCCUGAAUAAAUUAGCAUGGUAUAAUAAAAUAAGAUUCAACAAAAGGAGUUUAUUGCUUUUGAUUUGUUGGAUAAUGAUUAAUAGAGAUAGUUGGGGGCGUUCAUAUUCCAGGGGAAGAGGUGAAAUUCUAUGAUCCUUGGAAGRUGCACUUAUGCGAAGGCAUUCGUCAAGGAUGUUUUCAUUAAUCAAGAACGAAAGUUAGGGGAUCGAAGACGAUCAGAUACCGUCGUAGUCUUAACAGUAAACGAUACCGACCAGAGAUUGAAGGACGUUACACGGAUGACUCCCUCAGCACCUUGUGAGAAAUCAAAAGUCUUUGGGUUCUGGGGGGAGUAUGGUCGCAAGGCUGAAACUUAAAGGAAUUGACGGAAGGGCACCACCAGGAGUGGAGCCUGCGGCUUAAUUUGACUCAACACGGGGAAACUUACCAAGUCAAGACAUAGUAAGGAUUGACAGAUUAAUAGCUCUUUCUUGAUUCUAUGGGUGGUGGUGCAUGGCCGUUCUUAGUUGGUGGAGUGAUUUGUCUGGUUAAUUCCGAUAACGAACGAGACCUCAGCAUACUAAAUAGGAAAAUAAAAUAUCUAAUGGGUGAAGUUUAAUAACAAGUCAGACUUUGUCUGGCUUUUAAUAAAUGGAUCCUUGAUAAUUUUAGAAUAAAUUCUUCUUAGAUGGACUGCUUAUGUGUAAUAAGUGGAAGUUUGAGGCAAUAACAGGUCUGUGAUGCCCUUAGAUGUCUUGGGCUGCACGCGCGCUACAAUGAUUAACUCAACGAGUUAAUAUUCCUAUACUAAAAAGUAUGGGUAACCUCUUAAAAUUAGUCGUGAUGGGGAUAGAUUAUUGUAAUUAUUAUUCUUGAACGAGGAAUUCCUAGUAAGUGCAGUUCAUCACACUGCGUUGAUUACGUCCCUGCCCUUUGUCCACACCGCCCGUCGCUCCUACCGAUUGAAUGAUCCGGUGAAAUGUCAGGAGUAUAAAGAAUGUUUUCCAGCAAUGGAAAAGUCUUUAAGCAAAUUUCAGUAAACCUUAUCAUUUAGAGGAAGGAGAAGUCGUAACAAGGUCUCCGUAGGUGAACCUGC
rnacentral:rRNA from 1 species